rnacentral:tRNA from 1 species
AAGGUCUUAUCUUAAUUAAAGUGCUUGAGUUGCAUUCAGGUGAUAUGGGUUAGAAUUCCAUAGGUCUUA